rnacentral:rRNA from 1 species
AAGCUCGUAGUUGAAUUUCGGAAUUUGUCGGUUGGUCGGGCUUCACUGUCCGCACUGGCCUGAUAGGUUCCUACCUUCUGAAUAACCAGCAUGCUAUUAAUUUAGUGCGUUGGGGAAGCAGAGCUAUUACCUUGAAAAAAUUAGAGUGCUUAAAGCAGGCUUAUGCUUGAAUAGAUUAGCAUGGAAUAAUAAAAUAGGACGGCUUGGUUCUAUUUUGUUGGUUUCUAGGAUCACCGUAAUGAUUAAUAGGGAUAGUUGGG